AUUGAACGCUGGCGGAAUGCUUUACACAUGCAAGUCGGGCGGCAGCGCGGGGGCAACCCUGGCGGCGAGCGGCGAACGGGUGAGUAACACAUCGGAACGUACCCUGUCGUGGGGGAUAACGAAUCGAAAGAUUCGCUAAUACCGCAUACGACCUGAGGGUGAAAGCGGGGGAUCGCAAGACCUCGCGCGGGAGGAGCGGCCGAUGGCGGAUUAGCUAGUUGGUGGGGUAAAGGCCCACCAAGGCGACGAUCCGUAGCGGGUCUGAGAGGACGGCCCGCCACACUGGGACUGAGACACGGCCCAGACUCCUACGGGAGGCAGCAGUGGGGAAUUUUGGACAAUGGGGGGCAACCCUGAUCCAGCCAUUCCGCGUGAGUGAAGAAGGCCU
rnacentral:rRNA from 1 species